rnacentral:misc_RNA from 1 species
GCCGCAUGAACGAAAAUGUGAAACAUACCUUUCAUACUUUUCCACGAGAUGCCUUUAUUAAUAAAAUAUGGACAAAUUCGACAGGAAGAGACGGUUGGAGCCCAACUAAACAUUCACGUAUUUGUUCAAAGCAUUUUGAGCAGACUUGCUUCCGCGCUUUUAAGAGCAAAACGUGUUUAAAUAAAAAAUCUGUACCAACUUUGCACAUAAUACAUAUAAAUGUAGAAACACCUCGGAAGAAAAAGCUCAUUAUAAAAUUACAACAAAAGACUCGUCUAGCAGAGAUGCGUAAAAAAAAGAUACAAUUAUUAAGAUCAAAAACUAGAAGACUGCAAAAGAGAAAUGCGGAACUGCGUACUGUAAUUAAUACAUUACAAUCAAAGCAUUUCAUUAACCAGGAGAUGGCAGAUUUCCUAAUGUCCGAUGCAGACAAAACUUCUUUUAAACCCAGGCCAAAGUAAAAUUUCACCUCAAGC